GAGGACCGUAUUCAUGGAAGAGGAUUGAACAGACUACUGAGUUCUUAAGAGAAAAAUGGCACUUAAGAAAUUGAUGGUGAUAUCAAAGGAAGGUUACUUAUUACUCUUGGACUUUGAUGAUGAGGACGAUGACAUAAAAGUUUCAGAGGAGGCUCUUGCGGAAGAGAUGAAGUAGACAGUAUGUUGGAUAAAUCUGGAGUAAAGAACCCAGCAAUUGGUAAAGAUGAGAAUAUAUCGCCUCAAGUAAAAGGAGAUGAAGACAUGGGAGAUGAAAUUGACAGUAUGUUGGCUACAUCUGGAGCUGCAUCAUUGGACUGAAAGUGAAUGGCCCAUGUGUUGCCACUGAUGUGAGCCAUUUGCCUGUUGUGCUUCAA
rnacentral:precursor_RNA from 1 species